CAAACGACUCUCGGCAACGGAUAUCUCGGCUCAUGCAUCGAUGAAGAACGUAGCGAAAUGCGAUACUUGGUGUGAAUUGCAGAAUCCCGUGAACCAUCGAGUUUUUGAACGCAAGUUGCGCCCAAAGCCAUUCGGCCGAGGGCACGUCUGCCUGGGCGUCACGC
rnacentral:rRNA from 2 species